rnacentral:rRNA from 1 species
UUUGAUCGCCCGCGCGAGCGCGUUUAUACGUAGGCUGGCUAGUGUUUUCUGAAUUUAUUGGGCGUAAAGCGAGCGCAGGCGGUCUUUAAGUCUAAUGUGAAAGCAUUCGGCUCAACGAAGAAGUGCAUUGGAAACUGGGAGACUUGAGUGCAGAAGAGGACAGUGGAACUCCAUGUGCAGCGGUGAAGUGCGUAGAUAUAUGGAAGAACACCAGUGGCGAAGGCGGCUGUCUGGUCUGUAACUGACGCUGAGGCUCGAAAGCAUGGGUAGCGAACAGGAUUAGAUACCCUGGUAGUCCAUGCCGUAAACGAUGAUUACUAAGUGUGGAGGGUUUCCGCCCUUCAGUGCUGCAGCUAACGCAUUAAGUAAUCCGCCUGGGGAGUACGACCGCAAGGUUGAAACUCAAAAGAAUUGACGGGGGCCCGCACAAGCGGUGGAGCAUGUGGUUUAAUUCGAAGCUACGCGAAGAACCUUACCAGGUCUUGACAUCUUCUGCCAACCUAAGAGAUUAGGCGUUCCCUUCGGGGACAGAAUGACAGGUGGUGCAUGGUUGUCGUCAGCUCGUGUCGUGAGAUGUUGGGUUAAGUCCCGCAACGAGCGCAACCCUUAUUACUAGUUGCCAGCAUUCAGUUGGGCACUCUAGUGAGACUGCCGGUGACAAACCGGAGGAAGGUGGGGACGACGUCAAAUCAUCAUGCCCCUUAUGACCUGGGCUACACACGUGCUACAAUGGAUGGUACAACGAGUCGCGAAACCGCGAGGUUUAGCUAAUCUCUUAAAACCAUUCUCAGUUCGGACUGUAGGCUGCAACUCGCCUACACGAAGUCGGAAUCGCUAGUAUCGCGUCAAUCCAC